UUUAAUUUAACUUUACUCUUCACCUAGAUUCACCAAAUUAUUGACAUUUUGCCAUACUUGCUUUAUAAAAUGGAUGGAUGGAUGGAUAAAUAAGUAGAAUAGAGGUAGAUACAUAUACACACAGGAAGAUACAUUUUUAUGACUUGUUCAAAAGUAGACUGCAGACAUAAUGAUACUUCCCCUCUAAAUACUUUGGCAUACAUGUUCUGCUAAGAAAAAAGAUAUUCUCCUACAAAACAACAGUAUUGUUAUUAUACCCAAGAAAUCUAAUAUUGAAUACAAUAGUAUUAUCUAAUCCAUUCCAGAUUCAAAAUAUCCCAGUUAUUUGAAUAAAAUGUCCUCUGUGGCCAUUUUAUUUUUCUAAUCCAUGAUCAAACCCAGGAUGAUUCACCAUCACCCCAACAUAUGCACACUUAUUUCAUGGGUAGAGGCCUAUCUCUCCCAUUUUANAUGGGAAAAUCUCCUCAGUAUCUCUUGUAGCAUACCCUACCAUUGCUUAGAGCAAAUCCAAGUCUGAGAUAUUGGAAUAAUAAUAAUUGCAACCCACCUUCUCCGUUCAAUGGUACUCAUAAUCAUUCUAAUAGUAAUAGCAGCUACCCCACAGAGGAAACAGUGCCGAUAACAUAGAACAUGCUAAAUAGGUGUUUGGUAGUAUUAUUGACAUUAUUCUGAUCACCUAACUUGUUUAAAUCACCCCCUAAAAAAGUAAGAUUCCUGAAAGCACUUGAGUGAAAUUUAAGUAGUUACAUAUGUGAGACUUAUAUUUGAGUAUUUUAGUGAAAGUAUUGAAGUGAAAGCAUAACUUUUUCUUGUAAAAAUUGGAAUAAUUCUAACAGCAUUUGUAGUUCCCCCUUCUUUUCCUUGUCCUUCUCACUACACUAUGAAUCUUCCAUUACAGCCGGGCACGUUUAAUAUUUUGUCCAUCACGUUUGCAAUAUCCUGUUCUGCCUCUAUGUUUUUCUCAUGAUUUGCAUAUGUUCAUGCCCAAUUUCUAACUGCACUUUAGUAGUUUAGAUUUGUUUUCUCUCCUUUCCAAAUUCAACUUAUCUAAGAACAAACAUAUAUCUCUUCCCUCAUGAGACCUUCCAUAAUCAAUCUAGUUUAUGAUACUCUCUCACUCCUCUGAACUUAUCAAUACAGCAUCUCAAAUCUUGUAUUUAAACUACACAGGCAUUUUUGUUAGUUGCUUUUCUAAGUGAAUAAUCUUCUUUGGAACUGUGUUCUUGAGGCCUAAAUUGUUUUCCACUUCCCUAAAUGCUUUAUAGAAACAAGCAUAUACAAAAUUUUUAGAAAAUAUUGGUUGACUUUUUAUGAUUU
rnacentral:lncRNA from 1 species